rnacentral:lncRNA from 1 species
CAGGCAGUGUGGCUUUCUGAAUCCAAGGAGGCUGGGCAUAGGGAGAUGGGAUUUGUUUUGCUCAGUUUGGACUCAGCAUUUUUUGUACUCGAUUUAAUAGACUCAUAAAAUGUCAAAGGUUUAAGUGAGCUUAGAGUUCGUCUGGCCCAAACCUGGCUGAUCAGAAUCUCCAGGGGAAGUUUUUUUUGAAAUGCCAGAUCUCUGCAUUCUGAUAUCCUGAUUUAGUAACUCCAGGGUUGGAACCUGAGUUUUUUUUUUUUUUUUUUUUUUUUUUUGUGAAGGCAGGGUCUUACUCUGUUGCUCUGGCUGGAGUGCAGUGGUGUGAUCACAGCUCACUGCAGCCUUGAAUUCCUGGGCCUAAGCAACCCUCUUGCCUCAGUCUUCCAAGUAGCUGGGACUCCAGGUGUACACCACCGUGCCCAGCUAAUUUUAAAUGUUUUUGUAGAGAUUGGAUCUCACUAUGUUGCCCAGGCCAGUCUCAAACUCUUGAGCUCAAGUGAUCCUCCUGCCUUAGCCUCCUAAAGUGCUGGGAUUACAGGCAUGAGCCACUGUGCCUGGCUGAUACUAGCAUUCUUUUUUUUUUUUUUUUUUAAAGAUAGAGUCUUGCUCUGUUGCCCAGGCUGGAGUGCAGUGGCACAGUCUCAGCUCACUGCAACCUCCGCCUCCCAGGUUCAAGCAAUUCCCAGGUUCAAGCAAUUGGGGGCAUAGGUGGUGACAUCCCACUUUUGUUUGACUCUUGCUCAGAACCUUUUGGCCCAGCUCAAAUCUACCAUCUACCUCUUAAUUCUGACCCUUCCCAUGGGCUGCCACAUCCUAUUAGAAAUAUCCUAUCCCACCUGGCGCGGUGGCUCACGCCUGUAAUCCCAGCACUUUGGGAGGCUGAGGCAGGUGGAUCUCCUGAGGUCAGGAGUUCGAGACCAGCCUGACCAACAUGGAGAAAGCCUGUCUGUACUAAAAAUACAAAAUUAGCUGGACAUGGUGGCGCAUGCCUGUAAUCCCAGCUACUUGGGAGGCUGAGGCGGGAGAAUUGCUUGAACCUGGUAAGUGGAGGUUGCGGUGAGCUGGGAUCACGCCAUUGCACUCCAGCCCGGGCAACAAGAGAGAAACUCUGUCAAAAAAAAAGAAAAAAAAGAAAAAAACAAAAGACAGAAAGAAAGGGAAAAAAGAAAUAUCACAUCCUGUUUCUCUCCUAAAUUGGGAAAACUUACAAGGAACUACAGUAAAGAUCUAUGAGAAUAGUGCAAAAAGGGGAAAACCAAAGAGUUCCUAAAAAUUCCUAUUCUCUUAAAAGUAGCAAACCAAAUUGCUGUUACCCUCUACAUGGUCCAUUUCCCACAUGGUUUUGGAAGUACAAAUUGGGUAAACACCAAUUUUUAGCUAUUACUAUUUCUGCUAUUUUAAAAAUAAUCUUGGAAGGGUAGUUUUUUGAAAGGAGAGAGAGGCAUGACAUGGCAGGAAAUUAGAAAGAUUUUAGUUUAAAGCAAAAUUUGUGACUGUUGAUUAAAGUGAUAGAAAAUAUGGAAUAUCAUGCUGCCUCAGGUUAUAUGAGGGAGGGAUAGGAGGAUUAUUUUUUGGCAUUCCUGCCAAUAAUUCAUGGAGUUAACUGACCAGUCACCUAUUAUAUCCAUAAUUAUGAUGAGCUGCUGUGAAAAUGUCACAGGGUGAACCACAGCUUGCUUUGAUGUUGUCUCCAUGCCCAUAAAAAUUGUCUCUGUCACUUCCAAUCUUUCUAAACAGGUUCCUGCAAUGUCUUUAGGGUUGGUAUAAUGUUAGCUUCAAAAUACAUAUUAUAUUUAAAGAUGCAUUCAGCACAUUUUCCUCUACAGGAGUAAGCUUAAAACAAAUUAUUGUGUAUCAUAAUACAGCUUUGGCGUUUACAGUAAUUCUCAGGCAAAGCUCAGGGUAUAAGUAUGUACUUUGUAAAGUAAUAGGACUUAAAUUCAUUAAGUAAAUCUAUUGCUACCCUUGGUGCUUCUUUCUUAUCUUCAUUGAAGUUAUUUCUUUUGUUUCACAUGAAAUAGAGAAAAACUCUAAAACUUGAGAAAUUUUAAAGUAACAUUGUAAUAUUUAUAUUUUUAAUUAUAAACAUUGGUUUUCAAUUUGAGCUUUAAUCUUGAAUCUUAUAAUACAUGA